rnacentral:rRNA from 1 species
GCCUAGCCGUAAAAUUUGACAGCAAGAUACAACUGCUGUCCGCCAGGGGACUACAAGCGCCAGCUUGAAACCCAAAGGACUUGGCGGUGCCUCAGACCCACCUAGAGGAGCCUGUUCUAGAACCGAUAACCCCCGUUCAACCUCACCUCCCCUUGUUCCCCCCGCCUAUAUACCGCCGUCGUCAGCAUACCCUGUGAAGGAAAUAUAGUAUGCAAAAUGGACAAGACCCAGAACGUCAGGUCGAGGUGUAGCGUAUGGGGAGGGAAGAAAUGGGCUACAUUCUCUAGUCUAGAGCAUAACGGAAGGGCCUGUGAAACCAGACCCUGAAGGUGGAUUUAGCAGUAGGCCGGAACCAGAGCGUCCUGUCGAAGCCGGCUCUGAGGCGCGC